rnacentral:rRNA from 1 species
GAUGAACGCUGGCGGCGUGUCUAACACAUGCAAGUCGAGCGAUCUUCUUCGGAAGAGAGCGGCGGACGGGUGAGUAACGCGUGGGUAACCUGCCUCAUACACAUGGAUAACAUACCGAAAGGUAUGCUAAUACAAGAUGAUAUAAGAGAUUCGCAUGGAUUUCUUAUCAAAGCUCCGGCGGUAUGAGAUGGACCCGCGUCUGAUUAGCUAGUUGGUAAGGUAAUGGCUUACCAAGGCGACGAUCAGUAGCCGACCUGAGAGGGUGAUCGGCCACAUUGGAACUGAGACACAGUCCAAACUCCUACGGGAGGCAGCAGUGGGGAAUAUUGCACAAUGGGCGAAAGCCUGAUGCAGCAACGCCGCGUGAGCGAUGAAGGCCUUCGGGUCGUAAAGCUCUGUCCUCAAGGAAGAUAAUGACGGUACUUGAGGAGGAAGCCCCGGCUAACUACGUGCCAGCCGCCGCCGUAA